rnacentral:tRNA from 2 species
GCCGGGGUGGCAGAGCGGACUAAUCCAACGGCUUACAAGACCUGUUUCCCCUAACGGGGUGCUUGGGUUCGAAUCCCAACCCCGGCG